rnacentral:rRNA from 1 species
CGCUGGCGGCGUGCCUAAUACAUGCAAGUCGAACGCGCAGCGAAAGGUGCUUGCACCUUUCAAGCGAGUGGCGAACGGGUGAGUAACACGUGGAUAACCUGCCUCAAGGCUGGGGAUAACAUUUGGAAACAGAUGCUAAUACCGAAUAAAACUUAGUAUCGCAUGAUACAAAGUUGAAAGGCGCUACGGCGUCACCUAGAGAUGGGUCCGCGGUGCAUUAGUUAGUUGGUGGGGUAAAGGCCUACCAAGACAAUGAUGCAUAGCCGAGUUGAGAGACUGAUCGGCCACAUUGGGACUGAGACACGGCCCAAACUCCUACGGGAGGCUGCAGUAGGGAAUCUUCCACAAUGGGCGAAAGCCUGAUGGAGCAACGCCGCGUGUGUGAUGAAGGCUUUAGGGUCGUAAAGCACUGUUGUAUGGGAAGAAAUGCUAGAAUAGGGAAUGAUUCUAGUUCGACGGUACCAUACCAGAAAGGGACGGCUAAAUACGUGCCAGCAGCCGCGGUAAUACGUAUGUCCCGAGCGUUAUCCGGAUUUAUUGGGCGUAAAGCGAGCGCAGACGGUUGAUUAAGUCUGAUGUGAAAGCCCGGAGCUCAACUCCGGAAUGGCAUUGGAAACUGGUUAACUUGAGUGUUGUAGAGGUAAGUGGAACUCCAUGUGUAGCGGUGGAAUGCGUAGAUAUAUGGAAGAACACCAGUGGCGAAGGCGGCUUACUGGACAACAACUGACGUUGAGGCUCGAAAGUGUGGGUAGCAAACAGGAUUAGAUACCCUGGUAGUCCACACCGUAAACGAUGAAUACUAGGUGUUAGGAGGUUUCCGCCUCUUAGUGCCGAAGCUAACGCAUUAAGUAUUCCGC